rnacentral:rRNA from 1 species
CCUACGGGAGGCAGCAGUGAGGAAUAUUGGUCAAUGGACGAGAGUCUGAACCAGCCAAGUAGCGUGAAGGAUGACUGCCCUAUGGGUUGUAAACUUCUUUUCUAAAGGAAUAAAACGAGGCACGUGUGCGUUUUUGCAUGUACUUUAUGAAUAAGGAUCGGCUAACUCCGUGCCAGCAGCCGCGGUAAUACGGAGGAUCCGAGCGUUAUCCGGAUUUCUUGGGUUUAAAGGGAGCGUAGGUGGAUUGUUAAGUCAGUUGUGAAAGUUUGCGGCUCAACCGUAAAAUUGCAGUUGAAACUGGUUUUCUUGAGUGAGUGAGAAGUAUGCGGAAUGCGUGGUGUAGCGGUGAAAUGCAUAGAUAUCACGCAGAACUCCGAUUGCGAAGGCAGCAUACCGGCGCUCAACUGACGCUCAUGCACGAAAGUGUGGGUAUCGAACAGGAUUAGAUACCCCUGUAGUC